AUUGAACGCUGGCGGCAGGCCUAACACAUGCAAGUCGAGCGGAUGAAGGGAGCUUGCUCCUGGAUUCAGCGGCGGACGGGUGAGUAAUGCCUAGGAAUCUGCCUGGUAGUGGGGGAUAACGUCCGGAAACGGGCGCUAAUACCGCAUACGUCCUGAGGGAGAAAGUGGGGGAUCUUCGGACCUCACGCUAUCAGAUGAGCCUAGGUCGGAUUAGCUAGUUGGUGGGGUAAAGGCCUACCAAGGCGACGAUCCGUAACUGGUCUGAGAGGAUGAUCAGUCACAGUGGGAAAGAGGCGCGGUGCGGACGAAUACGGGACGAAGGAGUGGGGGUUAUUGGAGAAGGAGCGAAAAUAUGAACCAGCCAUAAGGGGGGAGUAAAGAAAGCAUUCGAGUUGUAAAGUCCUUUUAGUGUGAAAGAAAAGCAACAAGUUCAUACCCCGCUGCUAUGACGGGACCCAAAAAAUAAGCACGGCCCAAUUUCGUG
rnacentral:rRNA from 1 species